AGCAUGAAUACCAACAAUCUCUUCGUUUCCAAGGAACCAGCUACAAACAAAAGAAAGUGGAACAGGUCAGAGUACACUUUAAAGCACUGAAAAUAAAAAGGGGUCCUCUGAACAACUCCUCAAACGGCAGCCGUGGAGUGCAACUGAAAGAUGACUGCUGCAGACGACAGACACAAAGAUUUAGCCAAAAGGGUGUUUUCUGCAGCAUCGUUUACCAGAGCAAUAGGAAUUCCAACACAGCCUGAUGAUGGUCCCGUCUAACUUCUCAGCUGGCGAGGAAGAAAGCAAGGUUACAAGUAUGACAAAAGCAAAGACGAUUCAAGCUUCCCACGAACAAACCUGAAAGACCGGCGUCUGCUCCCAGCUCAACCGGAAUAAAGCUCAGCAGCAGAAUAAAACCUUCAGUGACAGAACACGCUUAUCCCCAGAAGAAAGGCAAAGCCUUCCUUUUGUUAUUUUAAUAAUUCCCUCCUCCUCCUUUCCCCUAUGUCUCACUCUCUGGUUGCUUUACAAGAAAAUACAUCAUUUUAAUAAUCAGGAAACCCCACAAAACAGAACUAAGUCACGACUCCUUGAAGCAUUCCAUACAAAACAUUCCUGUCACCUUUA